GAUGAACGCUGGCGGCGUGCCUAAUACAUGCAAGUCGAGCGAACGGACGAGAAGCUUGCUUCUCUGAUGUUAGCGGCGGACGGGUGAGUAACACGUGGAUAACCUACCUAUAAGACUGGGAUAACUUCGGGAAACCGGAGCUAAUACCGGAUAAUAUUUUGAACCGCAUGGUUCAAAAGUGAAAGACGGUCUUGCUGUCACUUAUAGAUGGAUCCGCGCUGCAUUAGCUAGUUGGUAAGGUAACGGCUUACCAAGGCAACGAUGCAUAGCCGACCUGAGAGGGGGAUCGGCCACACUGGAACGGAGACACGGUCCAGACUCCUACGGGAGGCAGCAGUAGGGAAUCUGCCGCAAUGGGCGAAAGCCUGACGGAGCAACGCCGCGUGAGUGAUGAAGGUCUUCGGAUCGUAAAACUCUGUUAUUAGGGAAGAACAUAUGUGUAAGUAACUGUGCACAUCUUGACGGUACCUAAUCAGAAAGCCACGGCUAACUACGUG
rnacentral:rRNA from 1 species